CCUCCCAAGUCCGAUGGGAUGAUUCCCUCUCACUAUUACUUCAACUACUCUCAACAUCCAUCUUUUAUGUCACUUCUGAAGUGCCUAUAUAUAUAUAUGUGUGUGUUCCACUUCCAUACCCUUAUCGGUAGUUAUAUUUUAGAAUUUGUGUCUUGUAGAAUCGAUCUCCUCUUGAUGAAUGUUGAUAUUUGAAGAGAUUCUCAUGAUCCUUAGGUGUAUUCUAAGGAGGAACGGUAGCAUGCAUCGUGGAGAGGGAUCAACCUGGGUGAUCUCAAAUAAAUUCUAUAAUUGUCGCUACUUUACAGAUAAGUGCUACGUUUUGUAAACAUUAAACUUUUUUAUAUUAGUGAAUGUAACAUUUUUGGAUACACUACCCCUUAGACGUAUGUAAUUGAGUGAUAUAUCACUAAAUUAGGUUAUCAACUCUACAUGUUCUUUUUCUUAGCAUGUUGCUUGCCAUUUUACUUAUUAUUGUGUCUAUAUGAUGGCCAAGACUAUUUGUAGUACAUGUGUUGAUGCCAAAAUUUGAACAAAAUAAUGAGAGAGGCGUGCAUUCGUACAAACCCAUUGAUGAAAUAAGGUGAAGGCUGAGUAGGUUAUUUUUGGCUAAUUCAUAUUCAUUUGUUGGGGAGCCUCAAUCUUAAUCUUUGGUUACCUGAAGCUGAGUAGGUUAAGUUCGAGCUUUUGGCCUAACCGCACUCUUAUUCUCUAAGGUCCGAUUGUGCUUGAAGUUUCACCCUUUUUCUUGAUUUGAUAUACAUAUGUUUACCUUUCUUUAAA